rnacentral:rRNA from 1 species
UUCGCAAUGCCCGAAAGGGUGACGAAGCGACGCCGCGUGGGUGAGGAAGGCCUUCGGGUUGUAAAGCCCUGUCAGGAGUUAAGAAAUGUAGACUCGCUAAUAUCGGGUCUAUUUGGCAAAGGCUCCAAAGGAAGCCACGGCUAACUCUGUGCCAGCAGCCGCGGUAAUACAGAGGUGGCAAGCGUUGUUCGGAAUUAUUGGGCGUAAAGAGCACGUAGGUAGACUUGUAAGUCAGACGUGAAAGCCUUCUGUUCAACGGAAGAAUUGCAUCUGAAACUACAAACCUUGAGUGUAGGAGGGGAGAAUGGAACUUCUGGUGGAGCGGUGAAAUGCGUAGAUAUCAGAAGGAACGCCGGCGGCGAAAGCGAUUCUCUGGCCCAUUACUGACACUCAGUGUGCGAAAGCUAGGGGAGCAAACGGGAUUAGAUACCCCGGUAGUCCUAGCCGUAAACGAUGGGCACUAAGUAGAGGGGUUUU